rnacentral:rRNA from 1 species
UACGUAGGGUGCAAGCGUUGUCCGGAAUUAUUGGGCGUAAAGAGCUCGUAGGCGGUUUGUCGCGUCUGCUGUGAAAACCCGAGGCUCAACCUCGGGCCUGCAGGCGAUACGGGCGGACUAGAGUACUUCAGGGGAGACUGGAAUUCCUGGUGUAGCGGUGAAAUGCGCAGAUAUCAGGAGGAACACCGGUGGCGAAGGCGGGUCUCUGGGAAGUAACUGACGCUGAGGCGCGAAAGCUAGGGGAGCAAUCAGG